UACGGAGGGGGCCAGCGUUGCUCGGAAUCACUGGGCGUAAAGGGCUCGUAGGCGGUCUGAUAAGUCCUGUGUGAAAUCCCUUGGCUUAACCAAGGAACUGCGCCGGAUACUGUCGGACUCGAGGCCGGGAGAGGGAAGUGGAAUUCCCAGUGUAGCGGUGAAAUGCGUAGAUAUUGGGAGGAACACCGGUGGCGAAGGCGGCUUCCUGGACCGGUUCUGACGCUGAUGAGCGAAAGCUAGGGUAGCAAACA
rnacentral:rRNA from 1 species